AAUUGUAUUUCACCAAUAAUACUGGCCAGUGAAAAAAAUGUGAGUGGCAUCUUGAGGGAAGGCUAAGGGCCAUGCUGAGUUUGCAGAGAAUCAUGCUUAAGCCAGAAACAGAAAAUCGUGAACCACAUAGUGCUAAACAUUCAGAAUAAUUCUCUUAGUAACAGUAGCAGCACUUACUUUAGCUUUCCCCCAGACUGUAUUUAUGUCACUUGUAACAUAAUGGGAAGGAACUAAUCAACUAGAAUAAUCAACUAGACUAAUUAACUAGAGUACAUCCAAUCAGCUAAGUAUUACUUUGUUCAUUGUUCUACAGGUCCUGGGUUAAACACUACCCUCAUCCUGGGCUUCUCUCACUUGUGCAGAGGAUUUCAAGCUAAACAGGAAAGCAAGAUUUCCUUACCAUUUAGUAUUCUUACCUCAGUGUAUGCUCUCUCUGCUAUAGCUCAAUCCAGUUAGCUUGAGUCACAGGAAAGCAUUUCUGGGGAUUUUAGAGGAGUACUGCCUUAGCAUGGAAGUGUUCAAAAGACUUUUAGAUGAGGCACUGAGAGACGUGGUUUAGUGGUGGGUUUGGCACUGCGGGGGCAACAGCUGGACACAAUGGUAUUAGGGGUAUUUUGAAACCUAAAUGAUUCUGUGAUUUUACCUGCACAAGUGACAAGAAUUCAGAAGUUCCUCAAAACAAGCAAAUUGGAAAGGGUCAUAGUCUCAGAAAGGAAUCAAUGCUGUUUAUAUUGAGUUUGUAUUGCAGGUACAAUCAAGACGUGUUGUGACACUGAUACAGUACUCAACAAAAAGUAGUCCAAGAGUCUUUAUCUCAUGAGAAAGCAAAAUUGUUGAGGUCCUUCUUGCUUUGAUGUCAUAAGAAAAAAAAACAACAUAAUUGGGUAAAAAUUACAUAUCCUCUAUUUUGACUGAUGAAAUUAAAUGCCGGAUCAGAUAAGGGCUAGUGAAACACCUCUCUUCAGUUUUCAGCUUGGUCAUGUGGGAACUCUUAUCCAGUGGAGUGCACAAAAGCCUGGAAAUACCUGGAAAUACAUACCUGCUGCUACUGAAAGUUCAGCUGGUCUUUUCAGGUUCUGAGUUCUAUCGACUAAAAUGUGGACAUCAAAGAGAAGACUGAGAGGACAUGAGAUUGCAGUCUACAACUUCCUCAAAUCCAGGGGAAGUGGAGGGGAAGAACCAAUCUCUUGACUCUGGUGAUUGGUGAGAGGACAUGAGGGAACGAAGUGAAGCUGUGUCAGGGAAGGUUCAGGCUGGAUAUUAGAAAGUUGUCUUUUCCCUGAAGCUGUGCUUCCAUGAUUCUAAUCCUUUACAAUAAAGUGUAACCAGCAAUUUGAAUUGAAUUUUUGUUACUGUACAGUGUGUGUACAAUGCACACAUAAACAAAACAACAAAAACUACAAAAGAAAAUGUUCUGUUCUGAUGAGACAAAGGAUUAUGAAUUUGAGAGCUAAUAAUUGAUAUUACAUACUAAAAUCCAAGCUGAAACAGUGAAAAAGUGCCAUGUACAAUAUUUUUACUGUUAAAGUUUUUUUAAUGAUUUUACCCACUGAUGAUGUAGGUUAAGUUACUAAUAACAGUGUGGCUUAUUCAGUUAAUCUAUUGUCAGAUUUAGGAGUUACAAUAAACUAUUCCAGACUAUCAGUAGAGUGAUAAUAAGGGAAAUCUUAGAACAAGUGGGAUUACAAAUUGUAUCACACCAUUGUAUGAUGUAUGGUUCCAAAAGGUUGAAAAUAUCUUGCAAAGUUCUCUGAAAAAUCUAGCUCUAAAGAAUAGAUUGUUUUCCGUUGGUCAUGUAUCUCUACUUGUCUGUGUUAGAGGAUUCCAGACACAUGCUUUCAAUGUUUCUCCCUGAAAUCUAGGAUAAAACAAUUAGUCCUUUGCACAACAUCCAACAGUCUCACAGAUACCUGCUGCCCUAAAUUUUGUGUCUAUUUCUUAGUUUAAGGAAGCUUAAGUGAGAUUAUGGGGAAAUUUGUGAAUGGUGGCGUGAAGAGGAAUAGCAAAACCUUCUAAUAUGUGGGUAUACAGGACUUAAAAGAAAAGGGGUUAUUUCUCUUUUAGUUUGUUCAGUAGUAAUUUUCUAAUUUUCCGUUGUGUUUGAAGGAUUGAAAUUCUCAAGUAAUUCCCUUCCAACCCAGGACAUUCUGUGAUAUUGUGAAUUUCUAGAAUGUGCCCUCUGAGGGGCAGCAUUGAAAAGCAAGUUUCUGUAAACAGCUACUUCUAGUCAUACUAUAGAUUAGGUGUAAGGAAGGGAUUAAAAAAUUAGAGUUUA